AAAACGGGCAUUGCCCGAAACGUCCCCUACUAUAACCUUUUUUUCUUUUUAAGGUGACAAUAUUACUGACGAAUGUGUUGAGUUUUUUGUUCAAUGGUGAACAGCUAGCUUCCGUUAUCCUGUGCAACUUUGCCGACGGCUCCUUAAACCUAUGAAUGAACAAUUAUAUUUAAGAUAAACUCCAAGAGUAAAAACUCAUAUGAUCAAAAUUAACCCCAGCGAUUAUUAAAGAGA